GCCACGGCUGGCUGAGAGCUCAACUAGCCAUAUAGAAGUAUUACAUAUAUGGUAUUAGAACAAAAUGGGUAGACGUUGUGGAGUGAGUAAUUGUAAAAAUUAUAAUCAAGAAAAAUACGAAUAUUUCAUUUUACAGAUUACCAUCUUCUGAAGAAAUGCGGCAGCAAUAGAUAAACGCUGUUCCACCAAAUUUAUUGCGCACAUCUGCCAAAUUAAUUUGUGUAUGUAGUGCACAUUUUACAAAAGAUUCUUUUCAACCUGCUUCAAUGGGACUGUCCAAAAAUAUCUUUAAAAAAUCGGCAAUACCUACUCUUUUUAAAGAAAAUUAUGAAUGUAAAAACCCUAUGAAUAAGAGUGAGAAUAAUGAAGAGACGAACAUUUUGAAAAACGUUUGCUUUUCCUCGUCCACUAGUGAUAUAGAAAAUAGUCCAU